GGCCUCAUCGUCUAGCCUGGUUAGGACACAAGCUUCUCAAGCUUGGAACCGGGGUCCAAAUCCCCGUGAGGUCA
rnacentral:tRNA from 1 species